CAGUCGAACGAACUCUGGUAUUGAUUGGUGCUUGCAUCAUGAUUUACAUUUGAGUGAGUGGCGAACUGGUGAGUAACACGUGGGAAACCUGCCCAGAAGCGGGGGAUAACACCUGGAAACAGAUGCUAAUACCGCAUAACAACUUGGACCGCAUGGUCCGAGCUUGAAAGAUGGCUUCGGCUAUCACUUUUGGAUGGUCCCGCGGCGUAUUAGCUAGAUGGUGGGGUAACGGCUCACCAUGGCAAUGAUACGUAGCCGACCUGAGAGGGUAAUCGGCCACAUUGGGACUGAGACACGGCCCAAACUCCUACGGGAGGCAGCAGUAGGGAAUCUUCCACAAUGGACGAAAGUCUGAUGGAGCAACGCCGCGUGAGUGAAGAAGGGUUUCGGCUCGUAAAACUCUGUUGUUAAAGAAGAACAUAUCUGAGAGUAACUGUUCAGGUAUUGACGGUAUUUAACCAGAAAGCCACGGCUAACUACGUGCCAGCAGCCGCGGUAAUACGUAGGUGGCAAGCGUUGUCCGGAUUUAUUGGGCGUAAAGCGAGCGCAGGCGGUUUUUUAAGUCUGAUGUGAAAGCCUUCGGCUCAACCGAAGAAGUGCAUCGGAAACUGGGAAACUUGAGUGCAGAAGAGGACAGUGGAACUCCAUGUGUAGCGGUGAAAUGCGUAGAUAUAUGGAAGAACACCAGUGGCGAAGGCGGCUGUCUGGUCUGUAACUGACGCUGAGGCUCGAAAGUAUGGGUAGCAAACAGGAUUAGAUACCCUGGUAGUCCAUACCGUAAACGAUGAAUGCUAAGUGUUGGAGGGUUUCCGCCCUUCAGUGCUGCAGCUAACGCAUUAAGCAUUCCGCCUGGGGAGUACGGCCGCAAGGCUGAAACUCAAAGGAAUUGACGGGGGCCCGCACAAGCGGUGGAGCAUGUGGUUUAAUUCGAAGCUACGCGAAGAACCUUACCAGGUCUUGACAUACUAUGCAAAUCUAAGAGAUUAGACGUUCCCUUCGGGGACAUGGAUACAGGUGGUGCAUGGUUGUCGUCAGCUCGUGUCGUGAGAUGUUGGGUUAAGUCCCGCAACGAGCGCAACCCUUAUUAUCAGUUGCCAGCAUUAAGUUGGGCACUCUGGUGAGACUGCCGGUGACAAACCGGAGGAAGGUGGGGAUGACGUCAAAUCAUCAUGCCCCUUAUGACCUGGGCUACACACGUGCUACAAUGGAUGGUACAACGAGUUGCGAACUCGCGAGAGUAAGCUAAUCUCUUAAAGCCAUUCUCAGUUCGGAUUGUAGGCUGCAACUCGCCUACAUGAAGUCGGAAUCGCUAGUAAUCGCGGAUCAGCAUGCCGCGGUGAAUACGUUCCCGGGCCUUGUACACACCGCCCGUCACACCAUGAGAGUUUGUAACACCCAAAGUCGGUGGGGU
rnacentral:rRNA from 1 species